UAUAGUGCAGAGCUCAGUGCAAUUGGGAAACUGUUGCAGAAACUCAAAGUUCUUAAACAUAAAUGAAAACUCCACUAUUUGGAAGAGCUGGAACAAUGUUUGUAUGGAAGAACGAACAAGAAUAUGUGCCACUCUCGUCAGGAACAAAAAUACGAGAUUGUGAGAAAGUUUACAUGGCUAAUGAUUUUGACCUUGUCAUUUUUGCAUUUUCCUAUUUCUAUUCAGCACAAGAAGAAUAAGAUUUUGUCUCUUCUUCUGGAAGUGAUAAGAGAAUAAACAUUAAGGGUUUUGUGCAGGUUCAUACAGGGGACUUAUAAUUUUGACUUGAACAGUAUGUUGGUGUCAUUACCAUUUCGGAUUUCUAGUAUUUUCUAUCCUUCUAUUCUUUCUUAACCUAUUGGACGAAUGCAAACAGGACAGUUGGGUGGCUCAGUCCAGACACUAUAAAACUCUGCAGGAGAUGUAUCGCAAGACCAAACAAAACGGAGAUGCUGUGGCACAACUUCUCGACCUGGAAUUUGAGGAGAGAAGAUCUUUUAUCCAUUCAGAUGUACUGAAGGAACCAAACAGACCGGCAAAAAUCAUUGAGGCAUAUCCCUGUUUUAAAGAUAAUGACCAUGUUCUUGAUGAACUUGGACGAAUAAUCGACAACGACAACUCCAGUUAUGCAAUGGAACUAAGGGAGCGAUGGCUUGAUUUCUAAUCCAAUUACCUUCUACAGGGUUUCCAAGAAGGCAUUGAAGCCACCAAUGGCACCUCCUGCUGUUAAGGCCUUAUUUUUUAUUGAAAAAUAAAACACACGUAAACACGAGAAUUAGGGCUGGGUGGAGGUGCCUGGCUGGUUUCCAUUGUGUAGAGGGCGGAGGUGAACCUCCUGGUCAUAACUCACAAAGAGUUAAGCAAGGGAGAAUAUGUAAGUAGGGAUGGAACAGUUCAUGAAUAAAAUCUGUUUGGUUCGCUUAUCUUUGUUCGGCUCAGCGCAAGCACAAAAAAUUACUUUUCAUCAGUAAUAGAUGGUAUGCAGCUGCUGCAUGGUUUCGGUCAGCUGUGUGAAAUCAUUCUGGAUUUUGUGCUACCUAUGGUGUUGGCAGUAAGAAAGGCAUGGAAAAACUGGGACUGUGUGCAACAUGCUGCUUACGCUAGCGGCAACACAUCCAGUAUGUUACCGUGGUGAAGUUAGUUUUACGUCAGAUAUUUGACAGACGUUCGCUCGGAACUAGCAGUGUCUUCGUACACGAUAUAGCCGACUCGUUGCUUUCAGAGAAGGCGCGCUCACUCCAGAGCCCUUGCUCUCACCCACAGCGGCUCCACAUUGGGACCAUCGACAAAAAAUUUUAGUCAGCAGUGUCUCCCCAUUUACUGUAUGAAAAUCACUCCUGAACUGAACUGAACUGUGGAUUUUGUGAACCAUUCCACUCCUAGUAGCAAAGUAGUCAUUCUAAUGGAGUAGAGCCAGACAGCAUGAUGCAGGUCGUGAAGCACUCUGAAGGGGGACCUAUUUUGUGAUAAUGUCUGCCUCACCUUACAUUUUCCUCAUUUUACAUUUUAGCUUGUUAUAAAGCUAUCAACCUGAUCAAUGCACUUCCAAAUCUGCUCCCUUCUAAUCUUACCGUGUUGAAGAAGAUGACGUCUUCAGCAAAAGCACUCAUCUAUGUCCUAAAGGUAAAUCAGAAUUUUUUUAAGUAAGCAUUUAACAUAAACUCUUGACAUUCUCUCAACAGUUAAAGCGCAACCCCAGCUAUAUUCGACCCAUAGCUCUGUUGUCCAAGGUCACACCGUGCUUUUGGUAGGAAAAAGAACAGACCAAAAAGCAGCAGCUAAAGCGAACCUAUCGGGGAACUUGAAGUUACGUUUCAGUUUGUGUCCCGUUAGGGUAGCUUUGGUAAACGCCAAGCAAUGAGCUGUCAAUUUGAAAGUAUUAUGUUUGGUUAUGACAUGGAACAUGAUUCAACCAAUCAGGAUGCUGAUUGUGAGGUUUCUGUGUGUGGGUGGACAGGUGGGUUGAUUGAUGGGUGGAUGUAUGUAUGAUCUACUAAUGUUGUGUGAUUAUGUUCAGCCCGCAGAGGACCCAGAGGCAUAUCUAGCCAGAAGGCCGCUCGCCACACCACUCCUCCUGCUCACCAAAGAUGGAGGCGUCUGCUUUUUAUGUGUGGGAGCCACACCAGCCACCUCCAUCCCAAAGAGCAGUCUAGGAGAGGCAAUGCUGUAUAUUAUGGCAUAUUACUACGCCUUCCACAUGACGUAAAAAAAUGCAUCUUAAGACAAGACAAUUUCUUAAAAUAAGUCUCCUAAAUCUAAGAAUUAUUCGCUUAUUGUGAGAUUUUUAAUGUGCUGCAAGCAAGCACACUGGUCUCAUUUUCAUCCUCUUGCUUACUUGUUUUCAGCAAGCUUGGCUCUGAUCCAGUUGGCUUCUAAGCAAUAAUUCUCCAAAAUAAGAACAAAUAUCUUAAAAUUAGAUAAACAGAAAUUAACAAGAACACUACGUACUAGUAUUUAUUUGCCUAAAUUAAGAUUUUUUAAGAUUAAAAUUUAAGAUUUUUUUUCUUGUUUCAAGAAAACUUAAGUGCAAUUUUCUUAAGAUAAUUUUGCUUGAAAUAAGUAGUUUUUUUUCUAAAAGUUAUUAUUUUCUUGUUUUUAGAGGUAUUUUUUUGCAGUGCAAAUGUUUCAUUUUUUUUAUUUUGCUUGAAAAGUUUAACAUAAUUCUAGAAAAAUUAAAUGCACAUGACUCAGUUGAGAGCAAAAAAUAGGAAGCAGAUACGUCUCCUCUGACUCUCCAACACACAGCAUUGCUCUGACUUUGCUCUUUCUCAUAACUGUAAUCAAUUAAUGAAUAUUGUUAACCAAUGCAAUACAGGAGCAAAACACUGAGAAACUCACACAAAUGAACCUGCUAUUUUGUUCUAUAAUUUCUUUCAGAGAAUCUUGAAUGUAUAAUUCAAAAGUGAAACAGCAGUGGUAUAAACAUACAAAAGUAGUGUCACCUGUCACAGCCCCAGCCCCUAUUCCCUCCUUCCCCCUUCUCCUCAAGCGCCAUAAACACUCUCAGUGCUAUACGUCAUGUACAGAAAGAGAUCCUCUUCAUGGUGUUCCUGAAAUAAAUGAACACAGAGAAAAAAGCUGGGUGUAAUCACCCAUUAAAAAGGGACUUUGUGAGAACCCCAGAGAACAGUGGGAGGGUGAAGGGAUUACCUCGUAGACAACGGAGAGAGGGGAACUCGACGGAGGCAGCGAGUUAUUGACGAAAAAGAAAAGUGCCUCCUCUGGUCGCAUAGAAACCCGCUGCCGGAUUAAGAAACACAGCUGACCCACUAGGAGAGACGAGCAGAAAAUCUGUCAGCAUUACCGGUAAAUAUCGUUUUGCUUUAGUUUAGACUGGAACAUACUAUUUCAUCACAUGUUAUGAGAGUAUUGUCUAUAUGUGUAUCACUCGGUGCUGCUGAGUAUUUGAUACGUCUGACUGAAACAGCGACAACAUACAAAAACAUACGUGCAGCAUGCAACAAUUCAAAAUAAUUUUAAGUAACCUGUGAGAUCAGAUGGAACAAGGUAUUUCUUCUUAUCCAGGUCUGGUGCUCUUGAUCUAGGCGCCCGCUCAACGAUAAUCUAAUUAAAGAACAUUUCAAAGUUUUUAAGCAAAACAGAAAUGUUACAAAAAUACAUAUGCAUGGAUACAGAGUAAAUUAACACACUCCCGGAAUGGACCGUUUUGCUUGUAUGAAAGUGUAACAAAAUAAAUGGUAAACUGACCGGUAUCUUGUCCGGAUGCUUCGCUCGGACUCUCUCCCCCUCAGCCUUCCUUACAUCCAGCGGCACACCUCGCUUAUACUGGCUACCCAUCUAGAGAAAAAUAGAAGCUGUGCAUUUACUGAUUGGAAAACCGCGCGACUCUAAAAUUACGCAUACUACUACCAAGACAUCUCAUAAGCGUAAAGAAAUUAAUGAUUAUAGAAUGACAUACAGAGUGACAUUUUAAUGGCUGCGUUUUGAAACGAAAACACAAUACAUAAAUGUAGCCAUCCCGCUAAUGAUCCCUCAUCCCAACGCGAAUGCGCAUUAGCUAGCAGUCAUCUGAACGAAAGCAGCAAUAAACAGGAAAUUGAUCAGAUGAAGAUUUCCAGGCAGAUGUCAGUAUUUAGCGAGACAGACACUUGCGAGCUAAUUAGCAAUCCACCCGACGUCCACGACCCAUCUAUAGCAUGACAGCUUUCCCGAUCUCCGAAACUCACCUUUGGAUUAAUAAUUAAGAAAAACGAAUUAGCAAAAAUCCCCAAAAUUGCUAUUUUUUUUCUUCCAGUUACUAAAGAAUAUAAACCAUAUGAAUGAAAUAUUAAUUGCAAUGUGUAACUUAAGUCUUAUUAAGUCUUAAAAUGUCGACUGGUCCACUUCUCCUACAGAAACAACAACAAACAGAUGAACGCCCCCAUUAAGGCUAUCUUAACCAAUCAUCUGCAAGCACGCAGAUUUCUGUCCAUUUGGCAGCAAGUCAGGGGAGGGAUUUCAUUUGUUGACAGCACUUCUAUUGGUCUGUUUUCAUGCUUAUCUUGCAUGUGCAGCCCGUUAUUCUGCUUGGUUUUACACAGAUGGGACCAAUGGAAAGCAGGUAGAUUGCUGGGGGCGUGUCUCGUAGUGUGAGUUCUACGUGUGCUGCGUUGUGUUCUUUAAACUUCGGACCAGUCGUAAGCACGGUAGUUAACUUCAAUACAGUAGGCUCCAGAUAAAUCCGAAAUAUAGUUUACUUUAAACAAAGUGUUUUAUGCAGUCCAGUUAUUUCGACUAACAUGGAUGUUUCUCGUGUUAACUUUUGCGACUACAAAUGCAAACUGUAACUACUUGCUACGUGCUGAGCAUGUAUGAGCAUGACUGAUAUGGCCUGCAGCUAAAUCAACUUGUGUAAUAUUCAGCACAGCUGUCGUCCGUUUUUAUGUUGUACAUUACAAAAUUCCCUCCUGGAAAUUUUCAACUGAAAAAAUGGAAAAUGAGGCAUUUAUAAGACGGCUAUCUAAAUUACUUCUUCUUGUUAAAGUGUCAGAAAGAUAUUCCCACUUUGGUUAUCCACAUAGGAAUUGAAUCUUUAGGGAGUGUUUGGUGACACAGAGGUAACAUCCCCAUGAUUCACCUGGCUUCUGUGCCAGCUAUAAAUACCUGUCUUAAAUAUUGUUUAGCAAUUUCAGUAUGACAAGCAUAACAAAUACACAAGAAUUAUCCAGUUGUUAAGAUGAUUUUCACGCUACCAUGACAACCGCAGUCUGACCUUUUUCCAUAGGUCAUUCAUUUGAUGGUUUUCUGGCUGACAGCCACAGCCUGUACCUUUUCCUUUGCAUAGGAUUGUGAUUACUUUCUUUACGUAGUGUGCAGCAUGUAAGCAUAGAAUUAGUGGCUGGUUUACAAAGAACUUCUUCAAGGUGCAGUAUAUGGAGCCAGAAGAAUACUGAUAUUUGCAUUUUAAUGUAACUAUUUUCUACAUUAAAGACAUUCUAUUCAUUCCGUUCUGUAGUUAGUAUGGAGUUUUGAAUGUACCAUGUGACCAAAUAAAGUGACCCACAUGUCAUUUUGUUUUAUUCAUCCACCCACCCAUCCAUGUUCCCUUACUUUGACUUCAGUACACGAUCAUGUUGAGUCUGGAGUCUCUCCCAAAAAGUAAGUAAGUGCAUUUUUAUUCAUAAAGCACAUUUUACAUUUAAAAAUAACUGAAGUUUACCAAAAUGCUCCAUAAUAUUUACAAACAGUAUGUAAAACAACAUAAGACAUAGCCAAACAAUGUCAGUCCAAGAAGGGAGUGGAGGAAACUUUAGACAAAUACAGAAUAUAUUGUUAAUAUAUAUUGCUAAUCUGGACUGAAUGCAAGUUUGAUGUACAGGCUUAGUGGAUGGACACCCUGGAUGGGAUGCCUGUCAGUCAUAAGGCACACCAGUGCACACAUUCACACAGCCAACCAUGCGAUAUGGACAGUUUAAAGACGCCGUAUCACACACCAGUACCAGUUAUUCAGUUUUCCUGAUUGUUUGGUUGAAGUGUGCUGGAAACUGAGAAGGAGCAAAAAUGUGGAUUGUGGGGGGGGUACCAAGAACCAAACUGAAAAACACCAACCUAACUGUACGUUUUUGAACAGUGACAGGAAACCGAAGUACCCACAUAAAAUACAGAAUGAAAAAUGCUGUUUCCACACAGUCAUAUCGGAUUAAAAUUGAAAUAUAUAUUAUUGGCUAUAAAUAACAUGUAAUCCAGAUAAUUUGAUUCUAAAUCUCAAUAGAAAUUUCCAUUGGAAAUCCAAGGUGAUUUUAUUAAACUAAACUACUUUCUGUCUUGGGCUUAGGGAUUGUUACUAAUUGUUUGUAUUCCUGGCUGUGUUUGCUCUUUAGCGUGAUAGAGAGCUAUUUCAGUUUUCUACAUUUUUCUUUGCUUCCAUUAGCCCGUAAUUACGUGAGGCAACAUUUUAUUACAAGGAUUAAAAGGUCUCUGGUCAACCAGUUUUAAUGGAAUAACAAGCUACCCUUUUCCACAGUUAAACAUUAAUCUAUAUAUACUUCAUCUAUUUACAUUUUACUUACUAAUAUACACAACAGAACACAACAUUAUUCAUUGUAUGGGCACCUGCAGUAAGUUUAUCUUUUGAAAAUUAUACAGACAAUUGAGCAAUUAAUAAUAGCAGAUGUCAUACAGAUCUAACUAAGUCACCAUAAUAUACAAUUUUUAUUAAAAGUUCUGAGGAAAUACCCGACCAUCCUCACUCUGAAAUGUGCUCACCGCUGCUCUAUUUUGCUAUAUAUACAUAAUACUUUCAUUGUUUACCUUGGCAGUGGUAUAUAUACAAACAUACACGAUUUGUACAGGAAACACAUUAGUAUACUGUAGUACUGCAGUGGCAUGAGGGAAACAGGAGUCAAAUAGGAGUAUGAAGAACUAGGCUUCUGUAAAUCGUUACUUUAUAAUUUGCAAACACAUGUUCCUCAAAUCCUAUUUGCCUGUUAUACCAAAAAGAAACAAAAAAACAAUAUUCCCUUAUUCGAUGUGUCCCCAAAAAAUACUUAAUUCAAAAGUUAAAAAAAAUAUAUUUGCCUGUUAGACAUACAUAACUAUAAUUAAUGCACAUAUUCCCUAGACACUGAACUUAAAGAAUUGGAUCUGACUGCAUAUUUUUGAAAUUUCUGUGAAAUUCACAGUCUUGUUUAUUACAUGACUGUCGUGCCUGUUCAGCACUAGCUUAGUGAGUUGCGGUAGCAGUUUUAAUCUUCUGCGUGUCCAGUAGGUUGCGCUGUCUGGCUCUUGCGUUAACGAUGGGCUCCAAAUGUCCCUCUGGAGCCCAUCCUCUCUGUCUGUCCGAAAGCCUUGUACCCUCAACCCAGCCUGAGAGAAAGGAAAACGCAGACAGUGAACUAAUGAAUAUAUCCACAUAAAUGACUGAUAUGUACAAACACAUUUAUAACAGUGCUUCAAAGCAGCAUUUUAAAGGAAUCUGUUUCAUCUGUCGAACACUGAUCUCUCUUACCAUCACUGCUCUGCUGGUGAACCAGUAGGACGUCGGCUUUCUCCAAGGAUAUUUCAUCUGGUUGCUGGGCAACAAAAGCUUUGACACACUGAACCUGGGUAAGGUCUGUGGGUUAGAGUAAAUGUAGUAAAUAAUGUGAAGCACUGAUUCAACCAAUAACACGGAAAAGGCUUCUAAUAGGGGCACUGAAAAAGGCUGGUACCUUGUGCCAUCGUGAAAUCUAUGUCGGGAUGGGGUCGGGAAAGUGCAGACAUCCAGCGUAGUUUAUCGCUGCUGAAAGGGUAAGAAAAAUCAAAGUCACUGUGUAAAAUCUUUUUAUCAAUGUUAUAGAACUAUCCUAUGUAUUAUUAAAUUGUAUAAUGCUUAAUUCAUUACAACCCAUACUUCAUAAACUCUCCUUAAACCCCAAGCCUAAGAUCAUCACAGAAUCUGUAGUAAGUGAACUGAAUUGAAUUCAAUUGAAUUCCUUUAUUGUCAUUGUACACAGCUUGCCUCUUUGGAUGCAGUUCUACUACAAUAUUGUAAUACAUAUCAGCAAAUAACUACACAUAGUUAAUGUAUAGAACAUUUUAUUUUGAUAUUUCUGAUAAUGUAUUUUUUUCUGUGUUGGUUGUCUUUGCCCCAGUUAAUCCUGCACGGCAAAAUGGUGAGAACAGGCUGAGGUCUGGAUGAAGCUCUAUGCUCGUCCCACACGCCUGUGGCUGUGGGGUGCGGCUCUCCUACUGUGUGUCACUGCGAAGCAGCAGAGCCUUCUUGGGCGGCAGGUGGAGGCGGAACACGUUCUUCUGCAGGGAGUGCAGCUUGAUGCGGCAGUUCUCCACACGAAUCUUCUCCGUGGGAGCGUAGUCAAUCACCGAGAACCUGCCACUUCUAAUAACCAGAAAAGUAGAGGCUAAUAUAGUGACCAGAGUUGCACAAUAACUCGAUCAAUAACUAUAACUGCCCUGCAGACAGAGUUUCUGUUUCUGGUUAAUUAAUACACUGAGUAAGAGUGUGCUGCUACAUUAUCUGUGCACCCUCAAGUGAAGUGUUACCUCUAUUUUUAUUGAGUUGAAACAGGGUACACUUGCUUUUUCACUCUUUCAGCCAGGGGAUUUGAACAAGAGACCUUCUGAUCAGAGGCACAUACUCCUAAAUUGCUGAGUUACAUGCAACCCACAUACUAAACACUAAACCAACAACCACAUGGACUACACUCUCCUUGGGUAAUAAGGGAACUCAGCAUGAUAAAAUGGAUUAGGCUGUGUGCACAGAAGCUUGUUGACAUGCUCACUCUUUCUGGAGGGACAGCAGCAGGUAGUCAUUGAAAAGGUGCAGGUACACAGUCCUCUCCGUCUCUUUCAGAGCAAAAUCACACAUUUCUGCUACAGAGCCCUCCCGUAUUAGCCUACGGGACUGACUGACCAGAGGCAGCGUCUGAGGAGAAGAGCAUCCUUUCAGCAUGUGCCACAAAUGAUCCAUCCAUCUCUUAACCACUAAUCCUGGAUCGGACUGCUGGCUAGAAAUGAUAUUUUGUAUAAUUAAACAAUCAUCCAUGCUUAUAUAGUAAGGAUUUAAGGAUUGCACUAGUAUUUUAACAAACCACAAGGAUGAAUAGCUACCCAAUAUUUGUUAUUAUUAUUAAUAAUAAUAAUAAUAAUAAUAAAUUGUAUUUAUAUAGUGCCUUUCUCACACUCAAAGAUGCUUUACAUGUGCAAUCAAUAAUACAAUGAAGAAAUGCACAUGCAGAAAUGACAGCAACAACAAGCCAACAACAAUGAGAAUGUCACGAACUGGUUAUAUAAAUUAUAGCAUUGCUGAAAUAAAUGAGUUUUCAAUUGAUGCUUGAAAAUAUUAACUGACUGUACCACAAACAGACUUUCAGAAAAAAUGCAAAUUGAGACUGACAAAACGCUAGACAACAACAACAAUAAACACCAGUGAGAAGCAGCAGCCAAAACGUGUACAGCGGUCGCUCGACUGUAGCCGGAAAUCCCCCCAAAAGAUCUCUCUCUGUGCCCAUGGAGGAGGUUAAGACCAUUGCCAUUCAAUGAUAUUUACCUUGCAUCCAAAGUCCACCUUGAAGCUUAGCGAGACUAAUGAUUCAAUACUCUUCAUUUGAGUAAUGCUGUCAUUGCUUUCCUUUAUGAGCUGAAAAAAGAUGAGAGUGAAUGACUUCACUGGACACUGGAGUAAAACGUCAAGACGGAGGAAAGAAGCAGAGAGAUGGCAUACCUUCUCGAGCAACUUCAACGCUUUGAUAGCCUGUACCUCUUCCUUGGUGUUUGAGACUGAUCUCUUGACAAUGUUCUGCAAAGAAUAAAAAAUAGUCACCUCUGAA